rnacentral:rRNA from 1 species
GCGUCUCAUUAGCUUGUUGGUGGGGUAAUGGCCUACCAAGGCUACGAUGGGUAGCUGGUCUGAGAGGAUGAUCAGCCACACUGGGACUGAAACACGGUCCAGACUCCUACGGGAGGCCGCAGUGGGGAAUAUUGCGCAAUGGGCGAAAGCCUGACGCAGCAACGCCGCGUGAGGGAUGAAGGCCUUCGGGUCGUAAACCUCUGUCAGAGGGGAAGAAAUGUCCGAAAGGAAGCUGACGGUACCCUCAAAGGAAGCACCGGCUAACUCCGUGCCAGCAGCCGCGGUAAUAAGGC